rnacentral:rRNA from 1 species
UACGGAGGGGGCUAGCGUUAUUCGGAAUUACUGGGCGUAAAGCGCACGUAGGCGGAUUGGAAAGUCAGAGGUGAAAUCCCAGAGCUCAACUUUGGAACUGCCUUUGAAACUCCCAGUCUUGAGGUCGAGAGAGGUGAGUGGAAUUCCGAGUGUAGAGGUGAAAUUCGUAGAUAUUCGGAGGAACACCAGUGGCGAAGGCGCUCUACUGGGCCAUUACUGACGCUGAUGGACGAAAGCUAGGGGAGCGAAAGGG